UCGAAUUGUAAACUGCUGUUAUAGGGGAAGAAAAACUUGGAUAGGAAAUGAUCCAAACUUGACGGUACCUUAUUAGAAAGUGACGGCUAACUAUGUGCCAGCAGCCGCGGUAAUACAUAGGUCACAAGCGUUAUCCGGAAUUAUUGGGCGUAAAGCGUUCGUAGGCGGUUUGUUAAGUCUGGAGUUAAAGACUGGGGCUCAACCCCAGCCCGCUCUGGAUACUGGCUGACUAGAGUUACAUAGAAGUAAGUGGAAUUCUUAGUGGAGCGGUGGAAUGCGUAGAUAUUAGGAAGAACACCAAUGGCGAAGGCAGCUUACUGGAUGUACACUGACGCUCAGGGACGAAAGCGUGGGGAGCAAACAGGAUUAGAUACCCUGGUAGUCCACGCCGUAAACGAUGAUCAUUAGCCGCUAGAAUAUUUAGUGGCGCAGCUAACGCAUUAAAUGAUCCGCCUGAGUAGUAUGCUCGCAAGAGUGAAACUUAAAGGAAUUGACGGGGACCCGCACAAGCGGUGGAGCAUGUGGUUUAAUUUGAAGAUACGCGUAGAACCUUACCCACUCUUGACAUCUUCCGCAAUACUAUGGAGACAUAGUGGAGGUUAACGGAAUGACAGAUGGUGCAUGGUUGUCGUCAGCUCGUGCCGUGAGGUGUUAGGUUAAAUCCUGCAACGAGCGCAACCCCUGUCUUUAGUUACUAACGGAUAAUGCCGAGGACUCUAGAGAGACUGACUGGGUAACCAGUAGGAAGGUGGGGACGACGUCAAAUCAUCAUGCCUCUUACGAGUGGGGCAACACACGUGCUACAAUGGACGGUACAAAGAGAAGCAAUAUGGUGACAUGGAGCAAACCUCAAAAACCGUUCUCAGUUCGGAUUGAAGUCUGAAACUCGACUUCAUGAAGUUGGAAUCGCUAGUAAUCGUAGAUCAGCUACGCUACGGUGAAUACGUUCUCGGGUCUUGUACACACCGCCCGUC
rnacentral:rRNA from 1 species